rnacentral:tRNA from 1 species
GGGCCCGUGGCGCAGGCUGGACAGCGCAUCGGCCUUCUAAGCCGGGGGUCGCGGGUUCAAAUCCCGCCGGGCCCG